rnacentral:rRNA from 1 species
GACGAACGCUGGCGGCGUGCCUAAUACAUGCAAGUCGAACGAGAGCGACCGGUGCUUGCACUGGUCAAUCUAGUGGCGAACGGGUGAGUAACACGUGGGUAACCUGCCCAUCAGAGGGGGAUAACAUCCGGAAACGGAUGCUAAAACCGCAUAGGUCUUCGAGCCGCAUGGCUUGAAGAGGAAAAGAGGCGCAAGCUUCUGCUGAUGGAUGGACCCGCGGUGCAUUAGCUAGUUGGUGAGGUAACGGCUCACCAAGGCCGUGAUGCAUAGCCGACCUGAGAGGGUGAUCGGCCACAUUGGGACUGAGACACGGCCCAACCUCCUACGGGAGGCAGCAGUAGGGAAUCUUCCGCAAUGGACGCAAGUCUGACGGAGCAACGCCGCGUGAGUGAAGAAGGUUUUCGGAUCGUAAAACUCUGUUGUUAGAGAAGAACAAGUGCUAGAGUAACUGUUAGCGCCUUGACGGUAUCUAACCAGAAAGCCACGGCCAACUACGUG